UACAGAGGGGGCAAGCGUUGUUCGGAAUUACUGGGCGUAAAGGGCGCGUAGGUGGCCUUCUAAGUUGAACGUGAAAUCCCUGGGCUCAACCCAGGAACUGCGUCCAAGACUGGGAGGCUUGAAUCCGGGAGAGGGAUGCGGAAUUCCAGGUGUAGCGGUGAAAUGCGCAGAUAUCAGGAGGAACACCGGUGGCGAAGGCGGGUCUCUGGGCCGAUACUGACGCUGAGGAGCGAAAGCGUGGGGAGCAAACAGG
rnacentral:rRNA from 1 species